UACUUGGGAAUCAAUAGGGUU
rnacentral:snRNA from 1 species